GAUGAACGCUGGCGGCGUGCCUAAUACAUGCAAGUCGAGCGAACGGACGAGAAGCUUGCUUCUCUGAUGCUAGCGGCGGACGGGUGAGUAACACGUGGAUAACCUACCUAUAAGACUGGGAUAACUUCGGGAAACCGGAGCUAAUACCGGAUAAUAUUUUGAACCGCAUGGUUCAAAAGUGAAAGACGGUCUUGCUGUCACUUAUAGAUGGAUCCGCGCUGCAUUAGCUAGUUGGUAAGGUAACGGCCUACCAAGGCAACGACGCAUAGCCGACCUGAGAGGGUGAUCGGCCACACUGGAACUGAGACACGGUCCAGACUCCUACGGGAGGCAGCAGUAGGGAAUCUUCCGCAAUGGGCGAAAGCCUGACGGAGCAACGCCGCGUGAGUGAUGAAGGUCUUCGGAUCGUAAAACUCUGUUAUUAGGGAAGAACAUAUGUGUAAGUAACUGUGCACAUCUUGACGGUACCUAAUCAGAAAGCCACGGCUAACUACGUG
rnacentral:rRNA from 1 species